UACGAAGGGGGCUAGCGUUGCUCGGAAUCACUGGGCGUAAAGCGCGUGUAGGCUGCCUCGAAAGUCAGGUGUGAAAGCCCUGGGCUCAACCCAGGAAGUGCACUUGAAACUUCGAGGCUCGAGUUCUGGAGAGGAUGGCGGAAUUCUCGGUGUAGAGGUGAAAUUCGUAGAUAUGCGGAGGAACACCGAUGGCGAAGGCAAUCCCCUGGACCUGUACUGACGCUCAUGCACGAAAGCGUGGGGAGCAAACAGG
rnacentral:rRNA from 1 species